GCCGAGGUGGCGUAAUUGGUAGCCGCGCACGUUUGAGGGGCGUGUGGCGUAAGCCGUACGAGUUCGAGUCUCGUCCUCGGCA
rnacentral:tRNA from 1 species